rnacentral:rRNA from 1 species
GGGUGCGAUCAUACCAGCACUAAAGCACCGAAUUGC